CGCAGUUUUUUAUGAUAAAAACUUGCGGUGAGGAAAGUCCGGGCUCCACCGGAAAAAUGCCGGAUAAUAACCGGGCUGACAAUGGCAGAUGUAAUUUAUUGCAUAUCCCUUGUUGGACAGACAGUGCAACAGAAAAUAAACCGCCCGUAAGGGUAAGGGUGAAAAGGUGGUGUAAGAGACCACCGUACAAUCUGGUAACAGAUGUAGCAGGUAAACCUCAUUUGGAGCAAGACCGUAUAGAAGUUGGUUUCCGGGCUGUAUACUUCGGGUAGGUUGCUAAAGCCAUCUGGCAACAGAUGGUUCGGAUAGAUGGUUACGGACUGCGAAAGCAGUUGACAGAACCCGGCUUAUUUUCCCGUC
rnacentral:RNase_P_RNA from 1 species